UGAGCAGGGAAAGGUGAUUUGGAGUGCUGAGUGAAUGAGGAUGCAGUUUUAAUUAGGAGGGAAAGUGGUACUUGAGCAAAGCCUUGAAGAAGGAGAGUGAGCCCUGGAGCUCUCUGAGGGGAGCAAGUGCAAGUUGUAAGCAGAGGGAACACCCAGGGCCAAGUUCCUCCUGCGGAGAAGGGCCUAGUGUGGGUGCAGAAGCCAGCAUGGCUGCAGCAGAAUGAGGGAGUGGAAGAAGAGAUGAGAGCUGGGUACAAAGCAUGAGGAGUAGAGGCCUG
rnacentral:lncRNA from 10 species